UUUGCGAUGAAAAUGCUAGCACCGCGAGCCUUACUGUUUACCGACUGGGCUUCUGUCUUAAGAGCCAAGAAAAAGUUAUGUUUUUGCGACAGACAAUGGCAUGAAGAAUUGAGGUUGUGAUUUCUUCUCGAAAAACCAGUGUGUCUAUUCCCUAAGUAUUACCUAAAGGAGUAAAGGUUAAGUAUAACACACUUUUAGUAGGUUUACAGAUGGGCGGCACUGUCUUGAUUUUUAUUCUUUGUAGCUCUAGGCAAAUCCGUAGACUUUUGUGGAGUUUGUAAAUUUGAAUUUGAUUCAAGGUAGAUUUUAUAGGCUUCAUAAACUGUCAUUUUACUCAUUACAACUUUUUUUUUUUGCCUCUCCCAGGCACGCACACACAUGCAUACAUACACACAACCAAAAACCCAAACAAAUCAAACAAAAAAAACCCUACCAUAAGUAGAAUUUUUUAGUCAGGUAGUAUUUCACAUACACCAUCUCUCCACCUGCCUCCCCCCGACAAAGAAACCUCAACAAAGUAAUCUUUUUAUUGUGAAAAAUCAAGGACACUAACAUUUUAAUCAAAAGAAAAAUGUUCCUCAGGUAGUUUUGUUUUUAAAGCAGUCAUUUGCAAACUUAAAUCCUAUUUAUAAGAGAAGUAAAUUAGUUUUUUAAAAAGUAUAUUGAUCCUUAUAAUAGGAUUAAGCUCCCUAUUUUGUAUGUGCAUGAUUUUUAACUAUCACUGAAGGUUUAGGUUAUCAAUUCUAGAAACCAGUCAAUUAUGUUGUAAAUAUCAAAAUAUCUUUCCUGAAAGGAGUAUAAUAUCUUCAAAGUGAGCCAAAACAACAUGGUCUUUUGAAUACUCUUACAUAUAAAAAUUUUUAGUGAUCAUAAAGACUUAUAAGUCAGGAAUAAUUUGGAAAACAUUAAAUCCUGAAAUGUAAAAGGUAUUCACAGUACUUGGCGGUUUCUCUGGUAGUAAUUAUAAAUCCUACAGGACUGGAUUUAUACACAUUAACUUUGUUUAACCAAUAAACACACAACAGUGGGGAGAAACAAAGUUCACAAAACUUCUUAUCAAACAAUGAAGACAAAUCAAAUGAUUCAUUCAAAGUGUGUGCCAACUUGCAAAGUUUUUUCCUGUCUAUACGGCUCUAAUACACACCUGUCAAAUUUUAUUCUCAAGGUUAAAUAUUCCAUUUCACUUGAACAAAAGGAUAAUAGAAUGUAAAUUCUUUGUUGAGAGGUGUACUUUAUACUAAGUUCAUAUUAAACAUGCAUUUCCAGGAGUAAUUUGUAAUCAUUUAUUAUAUUUUAUUGCCACAAUAUUUUUACCUCCCCCCCUUUGGCUUAGUUUUAACUCUUGGUACCAUAGUUGAAUUUCAGCCAUAACAAAAAAUAGUCAAAUAUUUUUCACCCUUUUGUCACAGAGCUAAAACACUUACCAUGUGAUGGCUUUUAAUGCCCUCAGUAGUAAACAUUCAAGGAUUUUUAAAGUAAUAAAUAUAGUUCCUUUAAGAAUGAAUUUGAUUUUUGCAUUAAGCAACUAAUUAAAUGAAACUGCUAACUUAGAAAUUAAAAUGAAACAAUUAUUAUGUGAUAAUAUUUUAGAUAUUUUAUGAGAAAUCUAAGCCAAAGCUACCAUAAUCUCUGGUUUAAACAACUCUCAGAUGUUACUUCCUUUUAAACCACUAAUUCAUUUUUCAGGAGAGAUGAAAAUAAUUUGUGCAGUGUUUACAUAUCUAGUAUAGAUUUGGAGAGCUUUUUAAAAAAAUUAUUUUUCAUGAAGUUUAGUUGGUCUUACUAAGUCCAUUCUGGAUACAUUAGGUGGUUCUCAUACAAUUUUUAUAGCCCCCAAAAUGGAGAUAUGCUGUCAUUUAACAACAGCUACAAGAAAAAGAACAGAGGGAUUAAGCAGUUUGCCCAAGAUCACUCAGUUGGUACCUGUGUAUGGAUUCAAACUACUAUGUGGAUUCAAACCCAAGGCGUCAUGAGUUUGAAAAAAGCCCCUGUUUACAUAAGAUCAGAGACUCUAGAGUUCUUUAAAGGUCUGAUCCAAUUAAUUCUAUUAAAUUGCUUGGAUUGAGGAUAUGGGUGAAUUUCAACAAGGCAUAGCGGGGUAAGUAACUUCCUCAAAGUUGCAAAGAAGAUGGGAGAAUCUUAGGCCGGGUUUAAAGACAUUUUAAAAAGUAAUUGCUGGGCCGGGCGCAGUGGCUCAUGCCUGUAAUCCCAGCACUUUGGGAGGCCGAGGCGGGCGGAUCACGAGGUCAGGAGAUCGAGACCAUCCUGGCUAAUACUGUGAAACCCCGUCUCUACUAAGAAUACAAAAAAUUAGCCGGGCGUGGUGGUGGGUGCCUGUAGUCCCAGCUACUCGGGAGGCUGAGGCAGGAGAAUGGCGUGAACCUGGGAGGCGGAGCUUGCAGUGAGCCAAGAUCGUGUCACUGCACUCUAGCCUGGGAGACAGAGUGAGACUCCGUCUCAAAAAAAUAAAUAAAUAAAUAAAUAAAAUUUAAAAAA